UACGUAGGGUGCAAGCGUUGUCCGGAAUUAUUGGGCGUAAAGAGCGUGUAGGCGGCCCGAUUAGUCCGCUGUGAAAGUCCAGGGCUCAACCCUGGAAUGCCGGUGGAUACUGUCGGGCUAGAGUCCGGAAGGGGCGAGUGGAAUUCCUGGUGUAGCGGUGAAAUGCGCAGAUAUCAGGAGGAACACCAAUAGCGAAGGCAGCUCGCUGGGACGUUACUGACACUGAGGCGCGAAAGCGUGGGGAGCGAACAGG
rnacentral:rRNA from 1 species